GAUUGAACGCUGGCGGUAUGCUUAACACAUGCAAGUCGAACGGAAACGAUACUAGCUUGCUAGUAGGCGUCGAGUGGCGGACGGGUGAGUAACGCGUAGGAAUCUGCCUGAUAGUGGGGGAUAGCCCGAAGAAAUUCGGAUUAAUACCGCAUAAUCUAUUCGUAGUAAAGUGGGGGACUUUCGAGCCUCACGCUAUCAGAUGAGCCUGCGUAAGAUUAGCUAGUUGGUAGGGUAAAAGCCUACCAAGGCAACGAUCUUUAGCUGGUCUGAGAGGAUGAUCAGCCACAUCGGGACUGAGACACGGCCCGAACUCCUACGGGAGGCAGCAGUGGGGAAUAUUGGACAAUGGGGGCAACCCUGAUCCAGCAAUACCGCGUGUGUGAAGAAGGCCUGAGGGUUGUAAAGCACUUUCAAUUGUGAAGAAAAGUUAACGGUUAAUAACCGUUAGCCUUGACGUUAACUUUAGAAGAAGCACCGGCUAACUCCGUGCCAGCAGCCGCGGUAAUACGGAGGGUGCAAGCGUUAAUCGGAAUUACUGGGCGUAAAGCGUGCGUAGGCGGUUUAUUAAGUCAGAUGUGAAAGCCCCGGGCUUAACCUGGGAACUGCAUUUGAAACUGGUCAACUAGAGUAUGGUAGAGGAAAGUGGAAUUUCUGGUGUAGCGGUGAAAUGCGUAGAUAUCAGAAGGAACAUCAAUGGCGAAGGCAGCUUUCUGGACCAAUACUGACGCUGAGGUACGAAAGCGUGGGUAGCAAACAGGAUUAGAUACCCUGGUAGUCCACGCCGUAAACGAUGAUAACUAGCCGUUGGGGGGAUUUACCCUUUAGUGGCGAAGCUAACGCGUUAAGUUAUCCGCCUGGGGAGUACGGCCGCAAGGUUAAAACUCAAAGGAAUUGACGGGGACCCGCACAAGCGGUGGAGCAUGUGGUUUAAUUCGAUGCAACGCGAAGAACCUUACCUGGUCUUGACAUCCUGCGAACUUUCUAGAAAUAGAUUGGUGCCUUCGGGAACGCAGUGACAGGUGCUGCAUGGCUGUCGUCAGCUCGUGUCGUGAGAUGUUGGGUUAAGUCCCGUAACGAGCGCAACCCCUAUCCUUAUUUGCCAGCACGUCAUGGUGGGAACUAUAAGGAGACUGCCGGUGAUAAACCGGAGGAAGGCGGGGACGACGUCAAGUCAUCAUGGCCCUUACGACCAGGGCUACACACGUGCUACAAUGGGAAGGACAAAGAGCCGCGAAGCCGCGAGGUGUAGCUAAUCUCAGAAACCUUUUCGUAGUCCGGAUUGGAGUCUGCAACUCGACUCCAUGAAGUCGGAAUCGCUAGUAAUCGUAGAUCAGAAUGCUACGGUGAAUACGUUCCCGGGUCUUGUACACACCGCCCGUCAA
rnacentral:rRNA from 1 species